rnacentral:misc_RNA from 1 species
CGGAAGGAUCAUUACCGAGUGCAGGUCUGCCCCCGGGCAGGCCUAACCUCCCACCCGUGAAUACCUGACCAACGUUGCUUCGGCGGUGCGCCCCCCCGGGGGUAGCCGCCGGAGACCACAUUGAACCUCUUGUCUUUAGUGUUGUCUGAGCUUGAUAGCAAACCUAUUAAAACUUUCAACAAUGGAUCUCUUGGUUCCGGCAUCGAUGAAGAACGCAGCGAACUGCGAUAAGUAAUGUGAAUUGCAGAAUUCAGUGAAUCAUCGAGUCUUUGAACGCACAUUGCGCCCCCUGGCAUUCCGGGGGGCAUGCCUGUCCGAGCGUCAUUGCUGCCCUUCAAGCCCGGCUUGUGUGUUGGGUCGUCGUCCCCCCCGGGGGACGGGCCCGAAAGGCAGCGGCGGCACCGCGUCCGGUCCUCGAGCGUAUGGGGCUUUGUCACCCGCUCGAUUAGGGCCGGCCGGGCGCCAGCCGGCGUCUCCAACCUUUUAUUUUACCAGGUUGACCUCGGAUCAGGUAGGGAUACCCGCUGAACUUAAGCAUA